rnacentral:rRNA from 1 species
UAUUGGUCAAUGGGCGCAGGCCUGAACCAGCCAAGUAGCGUGAAGGAUGACGGCCCUAUGGGUUGUAAACCUCUUUUAUAGGGGAAUAAAGUUUGGUAUGUAUACCAUUUUGUAUGUACCAUAUGACUAAGGAUCGGCUAACUACGUGCCAGCAGACGCGGUAAUACGGAGGAUCCGAGCGUUAUCCGGAUUUAUUGGGUUUAAAGGGAGCGUAGGUGGAUUGUUAAGUCAGUUGUGAAAGUUUGCGGCUCAACCGUAAAAUUGCAGUUGAUACUGGCUGUCUUGAGUACAGUAGAGGUGGGCGGAAUUCGUGGUGUGGCGGUGAAAUGCUUAGAUAUCACGAAGAACUCCGAUUGCGAAGGCAGCUCACUGGACUGCAACUGACACUGAUGCUCGAAAGUGUGGGUAUCAAA